AGCUUGAUAGGCUUAUAACUUAGUAAAAUAGCCCUUUGUGUGACAUAAUUUUGGAACAGAGAACAUUUACAAAGGGAGGAUUCAUCUGAGUCUGGGUUGCUGCUAGGAAGACUUUCUGGAGGAGUGGAAAGUCAGAGUCCGCUCCCAGGAAGACUGCUGCUGACCAGAGGCGAGCCGACCACUGGGAGCUGGCAGCUCUGCUCUGUCUGCUGAAAAAGAGAACCAUCUCCAAGUUGAGGAGGCAUCCCUAAUCCCCAGAGCGACGACCAGAAGUUUCCUAGAAGCCUCAGUAUUACCUGAAGUCCGUAGUGGAUGGACACACUGCCAAAGGCUGCAGUGAUGGGGAUUGGCCAGAAGAUGGAGCCAAAUGCCCUGAAAACCUAAGUUUGACCUUACCUCAGAAACCCUGGGAAGAGUCUGCUGAGCUGGCUGUUUCUCCCACCAGCCCCGCAGAAGGUCAUGCCCAGGAUACAGAGAAAAAAAUCCCAGGCAAGAACAGUGGAGUAAGUUGCCAUUUCCUCCUCCAUGGGGAUCCUCCCGACCCAGGAAUCUAAGCCACGUCUCCUGCAUUGGCGAGUGGAUUCUUUAUCACUGGAACUACCCAGGAAGCCCUGAAGAACCAUGGAAGAAGGAGACAUGGGUUCAGUGCCUGGUCGGGGAAGAUCCCACAUGCCGUGGAACAACUGAGCCCAUGCACCACAACUACUGAGCCUGUGCUAUGGAGCCCAGGGGCUGCAGCAGCUGAGCCCGUGUGCUGCAACUACUGAAGCCUGCACCCUACAGCCAGUUCUCUGCAACAAGGGAAGCCACCACAAUGAGAAGUCCACCCACGGCAACUAGAGAGUAACCCCCACUCGCCACACCUGAGUAAAGCCUGAGGAUCAACGAAGACCCAGCACAGCCAAAAAUAAGUAAAAUUAUUUCUUUCAAACGGGUGUGGAAAUACUUUUGUGCAAGUUUUAUACACAGGGAAGGUGAUACAGUCAUUGCCAUAUGACUUUGCCCACAUCAGCAAGGACUUGCCAGAAGCUGACUGCUUUUAUGGUCCUGAUGAUUUGUCUAGGUGUGUGGUAUUAUGGGCACUGGGACUGAAAAUAUGAGCCAGGGCAUCUUUUGGGGUAGGGAGGAGAGCAGAAGGCAAGAAGGAGACUUUGGAGAAACCCAGAAUUCAGAGGAAUAUCAUUUGGUUUGCAAAUGCUUUGUUUGAGAUCCCAGAGCUCUUCCUGCUAGUCUCUACGUUAAAUCUCACUAUUGUGGGGUGGGGAUCUGAAGUCCGCCCAGCAGCCUGAAUUCAGGAUGAGGGAAAUAAGCAGAUCUAGCUGAUUCAGACUGGUUGGGAUGGCCAGAAUGAAGCUUGUUCUGGCGUUUACUUCCCCUGCUGCAUCUCUCAAGCUUGCAAACCAGAGAUGUUGGCUCCUUUAAUCAGGAAACAGGACCACAGAUGGGGACAGUGUGGG
ensembl:lncRNA